AUAUAUAAAAAAAGGCAGGUUAAAUAAACUUCAUAGGCUCAAAAUAUGACUAGCAAAGCAACAAAGUUGUAGGGUUUAGGAAUUUGCAAGGUAAGGGGCACUAAAAUAUUAAUAGUCUCAUGUUAAAAAAGGUAAUAUUAUAAAUAAGCUAAAGAGGCCAUAGCAUGUAAUUAGAAAAGUUUAUACAGAUAUAUAGAAAAUAAAGAAGUUGUUGCAUAGAACAUUGACAGGUAAAGGCAACCUUAUAGGUGGCACGCCAUAAAUCAGUGCACCUUAUAUAUUAAUAUUACAGUUAUACUCCCUCCGUCCCAAAUUGUAGGUCGUUUUGGCAUUUAUAGGUUCAUAGCUUUUGCUAUUCAUCUAGAUAUACACUAAACUAUGAACCUAGAAAUGCCAAAACGACCUAUAAUUUGGGACGGAGGGAGUACAGCUCAAGUUUAAGACAGACAGCUGAUGGUGUAGUUCACGUUCACCCAACAAUACCAAAUAAAGAGAUGCAACUUCUCCAAAUCAAGCACAUUCACCCAUCACCCAACAAUAAGUUGGUUCUUAAUGUUGAUAUUUUCUUCAUCAUAAGGAAGAGAUUCAAAUUAACUAUUUUCUUCUAAAGUCAUCCAUUCACAAGGAACAGUGGUAAUUAAAUCUUACUCAAGUAACCUAGCACAACAUAGUCAAAGUUGAGCAUUGCCUCCAGGGACUUAAAAAAAAUGUAGCAAUACAUCAUCCGUUUAGCAUUUGCAUGAUGUUUCCAAUAACUCUUGAAACAAAAAGAGUAACGGUCAUAAUAUUAUGUCAAUGUCAAAUCUACAAAGAGAAUCAAAAUAACUUGCCAAAAAAGAAACUGCACUGAUAGACGGAUGCAUCAUUUUUACACAUCAACCAGAAAGGAGUGGGGAUGCCAAAGACCAUAUGUACUGUAGCAGUUGCUCCCUCAUUUCUCAUCACAACCACAUGAUUAAAAGAUACAAUAGUC
rnacentral:lncRNA from 1 species